rnacentral:tRNA from 1 species
CCCUGACUAGCUCAGUCAGUAGAGCAUGUGACUCUUGAUCUUGGGAUCAUGAGUUUGAGCCCCAUAUUAGGGC